rnacentral:tRNA from 1 species
GAAAAAGUAUGCAAGAACUGCUAAUUCUGUGCCCCCAUGCCUAAUAACAGGGCUUUUUCA